rnacentral:ncRNA from 1 species
GUAUUAUAUGAAACGAGAGAAUGUUAGCACUCCCUUUGACAUAUUUUU